rnacentral:lncRNA from 1 species
GAGGAACACUCACUAUGUGUGACCUUGGGUAAGACUUCGUGAUUUCUACAGCUAAAAAAUAGGCAUAAAAACAGUGCCAAACUCACUGGGCCGUUAAGAGAGGAUUAAGUGAGUUAGUAUGUAUAGAGUCUAGGACUUGGCACAAAUAAAUACUAUGUAAGUAUUAAACUCCUCCUUCUGUACAUGAAGACACUAAGAUUUAGAAAGCUCUAAUUUUUCUCAGUCAUUUAACUGGUAUUGGUACAAGAACUUAAACCAUAUAUUUUAUCUUUAAAACAAGGUUCUUUGUAUUACACAUAUAGUAGAACAGCAAUAAAAAACAAACUAAAUAGCAUGAUUUGGAAUCAGAGAUAGGCAUGCAUGCAAGAAUGAUAAUAAAAUUUCAGGGUUAAAGGAAACUGACAAAAUCACCAAUGUAGUCCUCUGCGCAAUUCAAGAAUUCUCUCCAUGUCUACCUAAGGAAUGGUCAUGCAGCCUCUCCGAACAUAUCCAACAACAGAUUCACUGCCUCAAGAGGGAACCUAUUCCAUGUUUGGCCAACUCAAUUAAAACAUUCUUGUCUUCUAGUUACUAACAUAUUAUUUCUAGUUCUGUUUAAAGUGAGUAAGUCUAACUGAUCCUAGUACUUUCUGUUUAAUGUUUUACUUCAUUUACUUCUACAUGUCAUUCCGUUUGACUUUAAAAUAGCAACAUUUCUUGAGGCGGCUGGAUGGCUUUUUUACGUAAUAAAAAAGGCUACCGUAAUAAAAAAAUGGCUCAGUUCAUGAUCCCACAUUUUGUGGGUUUGAACCCUGCAUCGGGCUCUGUGCUGACAGCUCAGAGACUGGAGCCUGCUUUGGAUUGGAUUCUGUGUCUCCCUAUCUUCUCUCUGACCCUCCCCUGUUUGUGCUCUCUCUCUCUCAAAGUAUAGAAGAGAGGCGCCUGAGUGGCUCAGCCGGUUAAGCGUCUGACUUUGGCUCAGGUCAUGAUUUCACAGUUUGGUUUGUGAGUUUGAGCCCCGAAUUGGGCUCUGGGCUAAUGGCUCAGAGUCUGGAGCCCACUUCAGAUUCUGUGCCUCCCUCUGUCUGUCCCUCUGCUGCUUGCACUCUGUCUCUCGCAUUGUCUCAAGAGUAAAUAAACAUUUAAAAAAAAGAAUAAAACAUUUAAAAAAAUUAAAUAAUAAAAUAAAAUAAAAUAGCAACAUUUCUGUAUGAGAAAACAGUAUGAAAUGCCUCAAAAGCAUAAUGCAACAAGAUUCCAGUCUUUUAUUUUUUCAGAAUCCAUAAGAGGGUAAUUCAUGACAUGUGAAGUAUUUCAAAACUUGUUGCUGUUUUUGCAAAUAAUCCAUAGGAUCUCCAGUUAAAGUAUCCGUUUCUGAAAACUCUUAAAGAUGAAGACAAGUUUUCUUUUUAAUUUUGAAUCAUCACACAUUCAUUCCACAAAGAGCCUUAUUUAUUUAUUUAUUUAUUUAUUUAUUUAUUUUUAUUUUUAUUUUUUAAUGUUUAUUCAUUUUUGAGAGAGACAUAAAGCAUGAGUGGGGGAGGAACAGAGAGAGGGAGACACAGAACUCGAAGCAGGUUCCAGGCUCCAAGCAGUCAGCACAGAGCCCGACGCAGGGCUCAAACCCACGAACCAUGAGAUCAUGACCUGAGCCGAAGUCGGCCACUCAACUGACUGAGCCACCCAGGAGCCCCGAAUUUUGAUUUUUAAAUGUAAUGUAAAAUUAGGUGACACUGUUUAGAUUUUUAUCCAAACUUUAAAAUUCUUGGUUCCUUCAUCUUUUAAUGUUGGAAAUUUGAAAGCAUAAAAAACUAAAAUUUUGGUUUCAUCUCACAGCAGGGGCGUUAAUAUCAUACGUAAUAAAAAAGGCUAUAAGAGGGGUGGGUGCUGGCUGGUCCAGUUGGUAGAGCCUGUGACUCUUGAUCUCAGAGCUGUGAGUUCAAGCCCCACAUUGGGUGUGGAGCCUACUUAAUAUGGAUGAAUGUUAAAAGAGAGAAAGAAAUAAAGGUUACAGGAUAAUCUCCUAUCUUCAUGGACUUUCAUUCAAUUCUUAAACAUAUACAUUUUUUGAAAUGAAAAUAUCCACUUUUAUUAAAUGGAGUUAAAAAUUUUAACCUACGAGAGUAUUAAUUUUCAUUUUGUGGUGUUUUUAUAUUCUUCCUUUAGAGUUUGGGUAGACCACUUUUUAGGUCUGAUUUUAAAUUAUGCACUUAUAUGAAAAUAGAGUAAAAUGAAUCACCUUGUGGUUAAUAAAUUCAAUGUUCUGUUUACAGACAGAUUGUUAUAAAAUUACUGAUCUAUUCUAGCAGCAGCAGUAAAGGUUAUGUCAAGCAACUACUAAAAAAAAUCAUACUACAUGGUGUUAAUGAUGUUACCUUAACAUACCAGCUUCAGGGGCUGCAUAAUUGUUUCUGCCAACCCAUAAAUUUUUGAGUAACAACAAAAUUAUUGUGAUUUUUCUUACUAAAUAAUUCAUACAUUACAAAGCAUGUAUGUAACAAGGUCCAUGAAUCACUAAAGCAUAUAAUGAUCAUAUAUCUAAUGACAUAUCUCUUUUCAUAAGAUGAAUUCAAAUAGAUUUAUGUAUUUAGGUUAACUAAAAAAUACUGAGUUUAUAAGGUUCAUAAUUCUAUCAUCAACAACAAUACAAAAACUUUACAUCUUCUUUAAGAAGUACAGCUUCCAUGAUUUGCUUUUAAAAACUGGAAGCUUUUGUUUAUCAAAAUCCUUGUGUUUAAGCUACUUUUCAUGAAGUUUUACUGCUUUUAAAUUGAUACUAUAAAUAUCACUGAAGAUAAAUUAAUAAUAUAAUGGAGUAGUACAGUGUUCAUAAACUGUAUUUAAAAUGAUAUAAGUGCAACCAAAAUAGCUAUAAGCAAUACUAUAUAACACCUCAUACUAGUAGUAGCUAAUAUUCUUUACCCAGCAACUAGGAUCUAAAAGAGGAUAUUUCCAUUUGCUAACAUUUUACGUGCUUUUCUUUGGUCUUAUCUUCAGUCUUAUCUUUUUAAAACAACACAUUUCUUUAUGCAUGUGUGUAUAAAUACACUGUAUAUGCUAUAUAUACUAUAUAUACUGAAGAAUAACAUACAACAUUGUGUUAGUUUCAGGAUAAAAGUAUAUAAUAAGGAUAUAAAAGUAUAUCCUUAAUGCUACCAAAAAAUGAUCCCAAAUGAGAUUUCAUCUACUUAAUUAAAAGUAGGUUUCAUAAUUAAAAAUUUUUAAAUGCCAAAACUGCAAAGUAUAAAAUGAUGUUAGCAUGUUUUACCUCUUUUAAUCUCUAACAUGUUUCUAAACUCUGUUAUUUUCUACAGAAAUCAUGCAGUUACAUUCCAUUAUAGUAAUAUUAAGUCCUUUACUAAAUUUUAAAAAUUACUUUUAUUUGUGGUAAAAUCCACAGAACACCAAGUUUACCAUGUUAACCAUGUUGAAGUAUACAGUUCAGCAGUAUCUAGUCACAUGACCAUUCACAUUAUCGUGCAAACAUCAGUACUAUCUCUAGACCUCUUUUCAUCUUGCAAAAUGGAAACCAUAUUGCCAUUAAAUACUAACUGCCCAUUUCCCCUCCCCGCUUUACUAAAUUUUUAACAGUUUUAUUGAGAGAUCAUUCACAUGCCACACGGUCUUCCAUUUAAAGUGUACAUUUCCAUGGUUUGAGUAUAGUCAUGGGCUCAUGCAACCAUUACCACAAUCAGUUUUAGAACAGUUUCAUUACCCCAAAAAGAAACCCCAUACCCAUUAACAGUCGCUGCCCAUUUCCUCCCAACCUCCCCAUCCCUAGGUAAUCACUAAUCCUCUUUGUCUCGGUAGAUUUGCUUGUUGUGGACAUUUCAUAUUAAUGGCAUCAUGUAAUAGGUGGUCUUUACGACUCGCUUCUUUCACUUAGCACAAUGUUUUCAAGCUCCAUCAAUGCUGUGGUGUUUAUCAGUGUAUCAUUCUCUUUUUUGACUGAGUAAUAUUCCAGUUAUUCCCAUAAUAAUGUGAAUAUGACACAUUUUAUGUAUUCAUUCUUCAGUUGGUGGCUAUUUGUGUAGUUUCCACUUUUUGGCUAGAAUGAACAAUGCUGCUAUGAACAUUUGUGUACAGGUUUUUGUGUGAACAUUUGUUUUCAGUUCUCUAGAGUAUAUACCUUGCAAUAGAAUUGCUGGGUCAUAUGGUAACUUCAUGCUUAAUAUUUUGAGGAACUGCCAAACUUUUCCAAAGUGGCUGUAUCAUUUUACAUUCCCACUAGUAAUGCAUGAAGGUUCCAGUUUCUCCACAUCCUUGCCAACACUUGUUAUCAUCUGUCUUUGAGGGGCAGAGAGAGAGAAAGAGAGAAUCCCAAGCAGGCUUUGCGCUGAUAGGGCAGAGCCCAACAUGGGGAUCAAAGCCACAAACUGUGAGAUCAUGACCUGAGCUGAAAUCAAGAGCCAGGUGUUCAACUGAAUGAGCUACCCAGGUGCCCCUCUCAUUAUGGUUUUGAUUUGCAUUGCCCUAACAGUUAAUGUUGAAUAUCUUGUCAUGUGCUUAGUAGCCAAAAGUUGUAGAACUUAUUUGCAGAAAUGUCUGUUCAAAUCCAUUUUUCAAAUGGGUUGCUGAGUUAUAAGAGUUCUUUAUAUAUUCUAGCUACAGGUCCCCUAUCAGAUAUGUGAUUUGUAAAUAUUUUCUCCCAUACCAUCAGCUGUUUUCACUUUGAUAGUAUCCUUUGAAGCACAAGAAUUUUUCAUCUUGAUGAAAUCCAAUUUAUCUUUUUUUUUCAUUUCUCAUUUCCCUUUACUAACUUAUCCUUUCCCCAAAUAGGAGAAUUUUACAGCAGGCUCUACAUGAAAUCAAUUUCUUUACUAGAAAACUAACUGAACUUUUAGAAACACACUAAAAACAAUCUACAUUUAUGUUAUCCCAGCUGAAUUAAAUGUAUUCUCAAUUAGCAGAGCAGAGUUCUCAAAAGUAGCUGAAGGGCCAAACUUGUGUCAGCGGAAACUAUUUUAGCCACAUUUUCGUUUAAAGAAAAAAAUUUUCUCAGCAUCUCUUCUCCAAUUUAUAUUGAAAAAAAUACUCUGUGGACCAUGGUCACUACUAAUAAUACUUCUUAUUGUUGGGAAAGCUCUUGUGAAACAUUUGUCAAGUACAAAGAAUAGUACAAAAGUGAAAUAUAGUAAUUAAGAUUUGUGUUCUAUUGAUUGUGUAGCGAAAGUAAUUUUUCAUUACUAACAUAAGAUUUAAUAAGUAUAAGUAGUUAAAGAUUCUGACUUGGCACUAGUCAUUAGCAUGUAAUUGAACUAGUAAAAAAAUCAGUUAAAGCUGUGUUGAUUACCACCUUAUCUUUGAAAGGCAAUUAAAGACCUCAAUCAUUGCAACAAGAUUUGAUUGUGCAGCCUUUAUUGGACAUUGAUCUUUCGGCAAAGUGCAGUUACAUUUUCCAUUAAUUUACAGUAACACAGUUUAACUUUGAUACCCUAGACUGUUGACCCAGGUGAGAUGUAAUGCUAAGUACUUGUUUAGGUUAAGAUGCCCUCAAACAUCAUUACUGUCUGAAUGUAAGUGCUGAAAAAAAGGAGAUACCCGAUCUACCCGCUUUAGAUAAGGUUUCUGUUAUCUGCAUUAGCUUUUAAAUGAAAUGAAACCAAGAUCUUUGUCUGUAGGUCACCCCACUCAUUUAAACAUCAUUCCUCAUUUAACAGAAUUAAGAGGUAUUUUCAUGAAGCAUUAUACAUGUUCUUGAUUAUAGUUUUGAGUGACUAUAAAUAUGAUAAAAAACAAAAUGUACAUUUUAAAAGAAAUAUAUAUGCCUUUAAUAAUUAAAAUUGUUUUGAUUUUUUACUGAAGUCAACAAUUAGCAAAAUAUUAGUGACCAAAUUUGUGUGAUAAAAGAAAUAACUGUACAAUUGGCUAUGUUAAGACAUUAGUGCUGAAAAACUAGGGAUUUUUAUAUUAGCAACCUCUUUCAUGCCCCCAAUUCUUACUGCAUCUUUACAGUAGUUCACAGCUUAUGCAGGAACUAAACAUUCUGACUGGAAAUUUCUUCCAAUACUUGCUAAUUGAUUUGCAUAGAAGUAACAAGAUUUACGAAAUUUUAUACCAAAAACACAUCUUCGUUAAAAAAUAGUUUUGCUUGAUUUUUGAGACAAAAUCCCAUCAAGGGAGUUAAGUAUUGGCAGAAAAGCUGUUUUUGGUUUCAUCAACUAAGAAUAUUCCUAAUAUCCCAAAGGGCAGCAGGGUCAGCUCAGAACCCUGCUUGCAACCUCAGGUGUAAUCAGCAUGUGCACACCCAUAAAAUGCCUUCAAUGUGUCCCCUUUCUUCCUCUCACCUUAUUUUUAAAUCCUUUGAUUAACGAAGUCUUUUACAUACAUACAAAUAGAUACGGAACAGAAGAAUGAGGAUUACAAAAACAGCCUUUACUGAAAUAAAACCGGCAUUUGCUUAUGAGCAUAUUUAUGAUACAUUUUAAAGUAGAAAGCCUUCUUGUUUUGGUCUUCUCAGAUUACAGGUGGAAAAAACUUAAGACACAAAGGAGUAGAGUUAUUAGCUUGAGGUCAAAAAGUAAUACAGCACUGAUACUAAAAAUAGAAUCAAUUUCCUGACUUCCAGCAUUUAUACUUUAUCCCUUUUAGGCCACAGUGCUUCCAUGUAUUUUCCACUUUAAAGGAAAAACCAUUACUGUUCAAUGGGGAGCAUUUUUAGACUAAAAGGUUCACUAUAAGACUUAAUAAAUCCAGUGAAUGAUAUUUUAAUAUUUGAACCAUGCCCUUAGCCAUCGUUGAGUUCAUCCUUCACUAUGAUCAACUCCAUGAGAGCAAGAGGUCUAUUGAUUUUCAUGUAAUACAAGAAAAUAUUACAUUUGCUUAAUUGUUACACAGUGAGCACAUGAGACAAGAAAUCAAGGCUCUAUUUAAUGCUGCAAGCAGCAGAGAAUUACAGAGAUCAAUAGGGUAGUUUGUCAAAGAUCUUCUCCAAGGAGACUUACCUAUCACCAUAUGGACAAGAAGUCACACUGACUGUAGCUAUUGAAAAACAGGUAAGCAGAGUCAGCAGUACAAAUUAUCAGAAAUCAAACAGGCCAGUGUGAAAAGAAGUGCAACUCUACUGAAAAGCUGUAUUUAUAGUCUGGUAAUUAAAAACCAUUUUAUCAGCCUUGUGUUGGGACCAAACCUUUACAGCAAGUAUUGACAAGACCAGCAGCAGUGAAUGAGCAGUAUUUGACUUAAAACUUAUGAGCUAUAGUUAUUUAACUUUGCCCAUUACAGGGGAAAUCAGUUCUAGCCUUCCUUGCAAAAUGCUAAUAGUCAGUUUUAUUAUUAAUGAAGUCUAAUGUAACACUAUCUUCUUUGUGUAAGCCAUUCAUUUAACUAGUGUCAAGUAUAUUCUUCUGGACUAAAUAUAUGGGCAUAAGUACUUCUUUGAUUAAAGUGUUAUUUAGAAUUGCUUUUAGACAAGUGAAUGCUACAUAUAUUUGAAGAACAGCUCGCUCUCGGUAGCUCAUUUAAAAUGACCACCUUGAACGAAGUCAGUUUGUAUUACUUCAUUCUGGUAUUUUCACCUCAAGUCACUUCCAGUCACUUUCUCUACUGAUUUGCCAGAAGUAAGCACCCAGUUGUUGGUUAGAUUGUAUUGUAUAGAAUAUUUUGCUACAAAAAUGUGUAAACUUGCAGAGUAUCAGCAACACAUUAACAUAAAAUGAUAUAUAAUGUAUGUUUGUAAUUAUGGGAGAGAUCAUAAAUCUUAAACACCCAUUGGUUUAGAAAUUAAAUAGUUCUACUUAGUUCCCCCUAAAUUACUCCAAAUUUCUGAAAUUUACCAUUCGUCUGGGUAUUUUGUAACUACCCCCAAGGAUAAAUUUUUUUAAAUGACUUUGCUUUCAAAAACGCAAUUAACUUAAUAAAAUCUUAACACAAAACUGCCAUCAGGUCUUUAAAAUUUCAGCCCAUUUCCCAUCACCAAUAAGUGUAUGGAUAUGUACCAUUUCAGCUAAUUGCUUUUGUAAACAGUCACCAAAUUUAUUCUUCUGGGUCUGUGUAGAUCUUAAUUGUUCUUACAGCUUUAUCAGCGUGCUCUUUUAACUUUUAAUAAGUCUUAAUUUCAUCCAUCUUGCUACAUUUACAUUAACCAGAGUCAUUAUUUUUUUUUUCAAAGUAGUAUGGUAUUGGAGGUUUAGACGAUAAGAAAUUUCAACAUUACACCUGAACCUCUCAUCCAGGUAAAUGGCACAAGGGCUUUAAAACAUUCCCAUUUAAAAUCCUGCCAGCCAAAGAGUUUAGAUUUCAGAUUGCAAUUAGAAUUCAUCAGUUUUGGAUUUGCCAAUGGUAUUAUCUCCACCUUUAUCCUAAAAUCCCCUACUUCUUUUUCCAGUGUCAUAUAAAAGGUUUUCCCAUCCUUCUUUGUAUGGGUAUCUCUAUUUUCUCUUCAGAGUUGAUUUAAAUUGUUAAUACCUAACUAUAGAAUAUAUAUAGGUUGUAAUCAUUUUUUAUAUGUAAUUUAACCUAAUUCUAGGGAAAAAAAUGGUGUAUGCCUCAUGCAUUUGUAGUUCCCAUUGGCUAAACUGAGUAUGUAAUAUAUAACCAUGUAUGAAAAGCUUUGCCUCUUGAGGGCAAUGAUUCAUCUUAAAGAAUCAGACACCACAGAAAGAAAAAGGUGUUUGCAAAAGUUUUAUUUUAAAGGGUCAAAAAUAAAUAUUGUACAUACACACAAGAGAAAAUCCACCGAUAUUUAUGUUCUCCAAGGCUCACCCUUCAGUACAUGGCACCUUCAUCUUCUUUAUUUAGAAAAUAAACUGUUAUUGGUCCAUAACUGGUGUGCACAGUCUCUGUGACUCUAGCAAAUAACCAGGAGCCAAGUCCAUACAAUAAAGUUGGAAUACCUAGAAAACAAAUCAUAUGUUUUUAUGAACAUCAGUACUUCUUAAUCACGCAUCAAUAUAUUUGUCAUGGUGCAAAUCACAAAGCACUCUUCAGCAAUGUCAACAAAUUAUAAAGUUAUAAAAAUAUAGACAUGAGUGAAGAUGGACUCAUUAUCUAAGAGCUCAGUUUCAUCUGUUUGUGGAACUAUGUGAGCCUAGAGAUCUUUAAAACUAUAGAUAAGGCUGGUUUAAACUUUAAUUCAAAGCACUUUAUAAGCACUAAUUCAUUACUUCCAAGUAAUUAUGAAGUAAUUUUAUAUUCUUUUUGCAAAUAAACAGAAUAUUCAUUCAUUUCGUUGUAGAUGCUCCUGAUUAUUGGCCUUGAGCUUAAAUUACUAGGUCAACUUUACUGUGCGUUAAGUUAAACAGCAACACUGAUGGUUAAAGUAAUUUUUUGUGCAACUUAAAAGAAACUGGGUCAAAGAGCUGUCUUCAAAACCUAAGGCAAAACGUAACUCUAAGGAAGAUUUUAGUAUAACAGCCAUGAGAAAUACUCCCAUUAGUAUUUUUACAGCUGAUUUGAAAACAACCUUGUUUCAACCUAUUUGGAAUAGGUAUUCAGUAGAUUCCAACAACAUGUUUCUUCUUUGGAGUAUUUCCAUUUGAUAAGAUCUUGCUGUUAUAUUUGAGACUAGCUGCCAUUUGUGAUUCAUGGAACUAAGCCUACUACUAACCAGAGAUAAUGGAUUAAGCACUUAUGCAAAUGAAACUAUAGUGGGCACAAAACAAACUUUCACAGUUCCUAUCUUUUUUAAGGCACUUAUUUAAAUUCAAUGACUACUGACAUAUUAAAAACAUGUAUAAAACCAACAGGCAUAUGAAUCAAUAGCAAAUAUUGUAUGCUCGACACAGUGUUAAUUUUAUUGUUACCGUGUAGGAGUUGGACAUAAAAAGACAAUUUAAAAGACAAGCUGUCCAUUUGGAAAAUCCCUCUUUCCAGCUAAUAGGGAAACCACAUGCUCAGGACUAAUCAUAUUGCUAAAUUUUUUCUUAUUUUUCUGCAGGAAUAUAUCUGCCGUUAUGCUCUUUUUGAGUAAGUGCACUGGACUACUUUGUGCUUAUUCCCUGAAGCUGCAUUCCAACCACUGUGAUGCCAGAGACUAAUCAGGAGAAGCGUCACUAUCUGGCAAUGAGAACAGAAAAAAAAUGCCCAUUCAGUCUGGCACCUCUCUAUUUUUAGGAAUAUACUGGGUCAUAGUUUGUCACUAUCACAGGGUUCCCUGGAAUGCCCAUGAAAUCUCUGACUGCUUUCUUUGCCUUGGUAAUACCCAAAAGAAUCUCUAAAUGCUUCAAGGGAAUGUCACAAAAAAGCCACAAAAACUAGCAUCAUAAAGCUAUUUAUAAAUAAUUUUAUCAGAAAAAAAAAAGGCAAGUGGAGUGUGGUUAGGGAAGCAUACAGGCAGAAAUGAGUGAAGAAUAGAAAGAUAAGUUGAAAUAAAAAAUUAAAUAUGGCAUCACAACUUUAAAGCUGAAAAUCAAUGGGGUAAGAAAGAAAAAAACAGGUUCUAGGAACAAGUAUUAAUUUUUAAAAUAUACUGACAGUAAAUUAUAUAUAAGAUAUGCCUUUUAAACCAACGCUAAGGACAUAAAUUUAAGGGGUGGCUGGUGAAACUGAAAUCUUGUUUGAUUGUACUUAUCAGUUUCCAGUUAAAAUAUUGGCACGUUUUAAAAACCACACAAAUCAAUGGUCCAUAUUUUUUCAGCUAAAAUGGAGAACUGAUCAAAGAUUACCAGUUUAAUCAUAACUACAUUACCUCUCACUAAGAAACAGCUAGGAAACACUAUCAAUAAUUUUGUUUGAUAGGGGAUAGAGUUGUGAUACAGGAGUCAAAAAUUCUCUAUUUCUUUUUUCCUGCAGUCUAUUUAAUGCAGUCAGGCUAAUACACCAAAUGAGAAGAUUUGCCACUGACAUAAUUAAAACAUAAAAAAAAUAAUUUUAUGGCACAUAUGCUAUAAAGUCUAUAAAAUUCUGUGAGAAAUUAAAUUUUUCCCAGACUGAAACAUAACAUCAAAAUGAACAUGAAAGUCAGUUCUUUGCAUAAUAAUUCAUUUUGAGUCAGCUGAACAGUAGGUAAACCACUGUCAAAUUAAGCACUUAAAAAAAAUUAGAACUUCUUAGCAAGUCUCCGAUUACCCAUUCAUUCCAAUGGUAAGUUGCUUUUCUUAAAUCUCAAUCUACUUCCCAGCAGGAUACCCAGACUGAUAAACCAUCAGUAAAAUGUCAGCUUCCACUGAAGGGAAGACAGAGGAGAAAGAGAACAAAUGGUAAAAGAGAAAUCUUUAUUAUUUACAAAAUGGAAAAAUGAAUUACUCUGAUAAUUAUUAAUUUAGAAGGGAAUAAGAGGAAUAAAAUCCUAAGUAUUUUUAUUAAUAGAAUAUGUACUUGAUGAUCCACAGGGGCAAUUUGUACAUCACAGAACAGGGAAGAAUCUAUUAUCUAAUUCUCUACCGUAAGACAAAAAUACAAAAUAAACAUUGCCAAAUUGGUGAAUACACUAUUCUUUGAAAAGUGCAGGAAAAAAUUCCCUGUAUCAGUAAAAGCCAAUUCGAAUUAAAGCAUGCAUGAGCAGAAAGUUUUCCUUUUUGUUUAACUUAAAACUCUUAUUCCCACGUAGGCAGGAUUUUUAGAAUUUCCAGAAGACCAUUACAUCACUCUUCAGCCUUCUCUUCCACAUAAAAAAAAGAAAAAGAAAAACUACAACUGUUGUUUCUUUCCUCAAAAGGUUUCACUUCUCUGUGUGAGAAUGUUCUGUGUAUCCUAAUUUUCUUUGGAUUUCUUUGUAUCUAUAUGCAAAAGAAAGCUCCAAACCGUUAAGGUGUUC